rnacentral:lncRNA from 1 species
GUGGGAGCGGAGGGCGUGGGCGGGGCCGAGCUCAGGGGGCCCAGCGCAAUGGUCUCCAAGUAGCCCUGGAGGUAGCCACCCGCUCAUGCAGUGGCCUUCCGGGAGAACAGUAUGGAAGGCACGGUGGACACGCCCUUCCCAGCUGGAACAUUCGUGAGCCUGGAAUUUAAGCUGGGGCAGAAAAGCGGCAGGAAGAAGGAUUGGAAGAAACCCGAGCGCAAAGUCCAGCCCAAGGGGAGGAAGCGGAAAUGCCUGGCCUGAGUCAAACUGGGUUCUGAGGAGAAGGUUCCGGCACUGAUAGUAAGUAUCCUAUAGAGACGGCGGCUUGGCGGGAGCCUAAGGAGCACCAGGGACCCAGUACAGCUGGGGGGAGUGGGAGGUGAGGACCCCACAGCUACUGCUUCCCUGUACAGUUCGUCUUCUCCAAGGCCCGGCCCCCAGC